rnacentral:rRNA from 1 species
CGAAGGAUCCAAGCGUUAUCCGGAUUUAUUGGGUUUAAAGGGUGCGUAGGCGGGCUAUUAAGUCAGUGGUGAAAGCCCCAAGCUUAACUUGGGAAUUGCCAUUGAUACUGAUGGUCUUGAGUACACUUGAAGUGGGCGGAAUGUGUCAUGUAGCGGUGAAAUGCUUAGAUAUGACACAGAACACCGAUUGCGAAGGCAGCUCACUAAAUUGUAACUGACGCUGAGGCACGAAAGCGUGGGGAUCAAACAGGAUUAGAUACCCUGGUAGUCCACGCCCUAAACGAUGAUUACUCGAUGUGUGCAAUACACCGUACGCGUCUGAGCGAAAGCAUUAAGUAAUCCACCUGGGGAGUACGACCGCAAGGUUG